rnacentral:rRNA from 1 species
AUGGAGGACGAAACGUGUGGAGCUCACGAGGAUGCCGCCACCAUGUCAUGUGGAUGGCGGCGCGGAGCUUGCCAAGAUGACGCCCAUCGCCAACAUCAUCAACCCGGUACCACAGAGGAUCAUGGUGCAGAGCCCGCAAGAGGGACGCCACUAACAUCAACAUCAUCAAGCCGGUGUCGCGGAGGACGAAGGCGUGGAGCUCGCAGGACAACAUCACUGAUGUGUACCUCGUCAAGAUGGAGCCCGCGACCCGGAACCAUGAAGAGGACACACGCCUUGGUGCUCCCCGCAACACGUAGCCCGCGAUACGAAGAAGAUGGUGCUACAUGA